CCUACGGGCGGCUGCAGUGGGGAAUAUUGGACAAUGGGGGGAACCCUGAUCCAGCCAUGCCGCGUGUGUGAAGAAGGCCCUCGGGUUGUAAAGCACUUUCAGUGAGGAAGAACGCCUGGUGGUUAAUACCCAUCAGGAAAGACAUCACUCACAGAAGAAGCACCGGCUAACUCCGUGCCAGCAGCCGCGGUAAUACGGAGGGUGCGAGCGUUAAUCGGAAUUACUGGGCGUAAAGCGCGCGUAGGUGGCUUGAUAAGCCGGUUGUGAAAGCCCCGGGCUCAACCUGGGAACGGCAUCCGGAACUGUCAAGCUAGAGUGCAGGAGAGGAAGGUAGAAUUCCCGGUGUAGCGGUGAAAUGCGUAGAGAUCGGGAGGAGUACCAGUGGCGAAGGCGGCCUUCUGGACUGACACUGACACUGAGGUGCGAAAGCGUGGGUAGCAAACAGGAUUAGAACCCGAGUAGUC
rnacentral:rRNA from 1 species